rnacentral:rRNA from 1 species
CCUACGGGAGGCAGCAGUGGGGAAUAUUGGACAAUGGGCGCAAGCCUGAUCCAGCCAUGCCGCGUGUGUGAAGAAGGCCUUCGGGUUGUAAAGCACUUUUGUCCGGAAAGAAAAGCUCUCGGUUAAUACCCGGGGGUCCUGACGGUACCGGAAGAAUAAGCACCGGCUAACUUCGUGCCAGCAGCCGCGGUAAUACGAAGGGUGCAAGCGUUACUCGGAAUUACUGGGCGUAAAGCGUGCGUAGGUGGUUUGUUAAGUCUGAUGUGAAAGCCCUGGGCUCAACCUGGGAAUGGCAUUGGAUACUGGCGAGCUAGAGUGCGGUAGAGGGUAGUGGAAUUCCCGGUGUAGCAGUGAAAUGCGUAGAGAUCGGGAGGAACAUCUGUGGCGAAGGCGACUACCUGGACCAGCACUGACACUGAGGCACGAGAGCGUGGGGAGCAAACAGGAUUAGAUACCCUGGUAGUCCACGCCCUAAACGAUGCGAACUGGAUGUUGGGAGCAAUUAGGCUCUCAGUAUCGAAGCUAACGCGUUAAGUUCGCCGCCUGGGGAGUACGGUCGCAAGACUGAAACUCAAAGGAAUUGACGG